UACAUGGGGUGCAACCGUUGCUCGGAAUUAUUGGGCGUAAAGCGCGCGUAGGCGGUUAUCUAAGUCGGAUGUGAAAGCCCUCGGCUUAACUGAGGAAGUGCACCCGAAACUGGAUAGCUAGAGUACGAAAGAGGGUCGCGGAAUUCCCGGUGUAGAGGUGAAAUUCGUAGAUAUCGAGAGGAACACCGGUGGCGAAGGCGGCCUUCUGGACAGUGACUGACGCUGAGACGCGAAAGCGUGGGGAGCAAACAGG
rnacentral:rRNA from 1 species